UUAUACAGCUAUUUAGCCCUAAAUUCCCUGUCUCUGAUAAUAAGGAUGUCUCCCUUCCUCCUGGUAGAGGAAGGGUUCCUUUCACAUGGGAGAUUUCUCUCCUUCUUUCAGGGAGGAAGAGCAAGGGAAGAGCAAGGUAGUGUGGCUGAGCAGAAUGAUUUACACCUACUUUACUGCUUUACCGCCACAGGGUGAUCUGGAUACACCAGUUAGUUUCCUGUCGUAAUUUGGUCAGAAAAGGUUUAGAUUUGAUGCAGGUCCCAAGUGUAAUAAUCUACUAUAUUGAUGAACUUAUGAUAAUAUUAGAAACCUAAGAGCAAGCUAGGACUGACUUGAAUGCUAUAGUGACUCACAUGAACAACUGAGGGAGGUUAAUAAAUCCAAUAAAGAUUGAAGGACCCACCCAACCAGUGAUUAUUCUUAAGAAUAAUCUGGGUAGGAGCCACCCAGGACAUUUCACAAGUGACUGAAAAUAGUGAGCUGUUAUUUAUUACCCACCCCUAGGACCAAACAAGGAGCUCAGCGUUUUGGUUUGUUUAUGUGGAUUUUGGAGAACACAUAUUCCGCAUUUUGAAAUAUUGCUAGUUCCUGAAGACUUCUUGAGAGAAGGCCAUGUUUGAGUGGGGAGCUGAACAAAAGCAAGCCACAUCUCAAUUAUAUACAGGGAUAACUCUCUCAGUGCUUUUAAGCCCUAUGAUCCCCACUCAGGUAUAAUUUUAGAAGUGUCUGCCAGUGGACAUGCAGACUGGAGACCAUAGUGAAAGCCUUUGUGUGCCUCCCAGUGGCAGCCUUUGAAUUUUGAACCAGAAAAUUCCACAUGCUGUUGCCCAGUACUCAGCAUUUGAGAGACAAUCACUAGCUUGCUGUUGGGCAUUUGAGGCUGCCUAUAUGGCUAAAGGACAUGAAAUAACCAUGAAACCUGAGAUACCCAUAGUGUCUUGGGUGAUGUCAGAGAAACACUCUAAUAAGGAAGGUAGGGUCCCGAGGAGUUCCAGAAUAAAAUGAAAACAGUUUCUACAGGAGCAUGCUACCAGGGAAAUUGAGGAGGCACCCACCUGUAUGUGCAGGAAGGUAAGCUCUUUUCCCAACGACUGACUGUGGAACCACUUCAGAAGCCACCAAAACCUGUCACCACAUGGACAGUGCCCAAGAACACCACUUAAUUGACCAACCAAGAACUGCUCCAAGGAAAAUGAAUAGUAUCCUGUUUGGAUACUGCAAGGCUGCAACAUUAAGACCUGCAGAUGGAAAGACUCUGAAGAAGGUUCAAAAGAUGAUUGGAACACCAAGUGGACCUUCUGUUGCUCUCCCUUGAAGUGAAUAUCUGUGUCCGUGCAAUGAGAGGACAUGGCGGUGCUGUAGCAGUGCAGAGAUGAGCUGAAUCUCCACAUAUUCCUCUUGCACCCUCUGAGUCACAAAACACCAGGAACUGUUCUGUUUGCCAACAAGAGAGGCUGCAAAUGGCUAUAGGGGAAAAUUCUCUGGGAGAAAGGUCUCAUCAAUACCUGGGAAGUGUAUACAUUGGACAAAUGCUGGUGGCUCCAGGAAGCUAUAAAUGGUCCCUGAGAGGAAUAGACACUCCAGACUGGGCUUUGCAUACCCAAAUGUAUGCAGAUGUUCAAACUACUAUUAAAGGAUUGGAACGCAAUAUACUGGACCAAUUUA